GCUGCCGUGGCUCAGUGGUUAGAGCGCCGGCCCACGCAUCGGAGGGUCUCAGGUUCAAUACCUGGCCCCAGUC
rnacentral:tRNA from 1 species